rnacentral:rRNA from 1 species
ACGCACACUCCUACGGGAGGCAGCAGUGGGGAAUAUUGCACAAUGGGCGCAAGCCUGAUGCAGCCAUGCCGCGUGUAUGAAGAAGGCCUUCGGGUUGUAAAGUACUUUCAGCGGGGAGGAAGGCGAUAAGGUUAAUAACCUUGUCGAUUGACGUUACCCGCAGAAGAAGCACCGGCUAACUCCGUGCCAGCAGCCGCGGUAAUACGGAGGGUGCAAGCGUUAAUCGGAAUUACUGGGCGUAAAGCGCACGCAGGCGGUCUGUCAAGUCGGAUGUGAAAUCCCCGGGCUCAACCUGGGAACUGCAUUCGAAACUGGCAGGCUAGAGUCUUGUAGAGGGGGGUAGAAUUCCAGGUGUAGCGGUGAAAUGCGUAGAGAUCUGGAGGAAUACCGGUGGCGAAGGCGGCCCCCUGGACAAAGACUGACGCUCAGGUGCGAAAGCGUGGGGAGCAAACAGGAUUAGAAACCCUAGUAGUCCCA